rnacentral:rRNA from 1 species
UACGUAGGGGGCUAGCGUUGUCCGGAAUCAUUGGGCGUAAAGCGCGUGUAGGCGGUUCGGUAAGUCUGCUGUGAAAGUCGGGGGCUCAACCCUCGAAUGCCGGUGGAUACUGUCGGACUAGAGUGCGGAAGAGGCGAGUGGAAUUCCUGGUGUAGCGGUGAAAUGCGCAGAUAUCAGGAGGAACACCAAUUGCGAAGGCAGCUCGCUGGGACGUUACUGACGCUGAGACGCGAAAGCGUGGGGGAGCAAACAGG